AUGUAUUUGAUUGACAAUAGCAUAUGGGAUGAUGUGUUGAUAGAAGCAAAUGCUUCAGAACAGCCUAAUGGUAGUGACAGUGACAGGCUUGAUUCAGAUGCAGACUUUUUUGACAGUGACAAUGAUCCAUUUGAUGGAGAUGAUGAUUUGUUUGCCGCCUUUGUGGAUCAAGAUGUGAAAGAUUCAAUGAUCCCUGACAAAGGUAGACAGCAAGUUCAAGACAAUGAGGUGAAGGACAAGGAUAAGAAGGAUAAAAGGAAGAGGGAAGAUUCUGAUGGUGAGCUUGAAUUACCAGAUUCUGAAGAUGAGAACUUCAAGUUCAAGUUCAAGUCAUUCACAUCAGUGGACAUGAAGGAACCCGAGUUUAAAGUUGGAAUGUUCUUUUCAACUGUUGAGCAGUUGCGAUAA
rnacentral:rRNA from 1 species